rnacentral:rRNA from 1 species
UUGUAAUUUGUAGAGGAUGCUUUUAGGCAGCCGCCGGUCUAAGUUCCUUGGAACAGGACGUCAUAGAGGGUGAGAAUCCCGUAUGUGACCGGCUCAGGCACCUUCUGUAAAGCUCCUUCGACGAGUCGAGUUGUUUGGGAAUGCAGCUCUAAAUGGGAGGUAAAUUUCUUCUAAAGCUAAAUACUGGCGAGAGACCGAUAGCGCACAAGUAGAGUGAUCGAAAGAUGAAAAGCACUUUGGAAAGAGAGUUAAAAAGCACGUGAAAUUGUUGAAAGGGAAGCGCUUGCAAUCAGACUUGGCCUAGAGUGUUCAACCGGUCUUCUGACCGGCCUAUUCAUUCUGGGCCAGGCCAGCAUCAGUUUUGGCGGCCGGAUAAAGGCCUUGGGAAUGUGGCUUCUCCUUCGGG